GAUGAACGCUAGCUACAGGCUUAACACAUGCAAGUCGAGGGGCAGCGGGAUUGAAGCUUGCUUCAAUUGCCGGCGACCGGCGCACGGGUGAGUAACGCGUAUCCAACCUUCCGUACACUCAGGGAUAGCCUUUCGAAAGAAAGAUUAAUACCUGAUGGUAUGAUGAGAUUGCAUGAUAGCAUCAUUAAAGAUUUAUCGGUGUACGAUGGGGAUGCGUUCCAUUAGGUAGUAGGCGGGGUAACGGCCCACCUAGCCUUCGAUGGAUAGGGGUUCUGAGAGGAAGGUCCCCCACAUUGGAACUGAGACACGGUCAAACUCCUACGGGAGGCAGCAGUGAGGAAUAUUGGUCAAUGGACGAGAGUCUGAACCAGCCAAGUAGCGUGAAGGAUGACUGCCCUAUGGGUUGUAAACUUCUUUUAUACGGGAAUAAAGUGAGGCACGUGUGCCUUUUUGUAUGUACCGUAUGAAUAAGGAUCGGCUAACUCCGUGCCAGCAG
rnacentral:rRNA from 1 species